UACGUAGGUGGCAAGCGUUAUCCGGAUUUACUGGGUGUAAAGGGCGUGUAGGCGGGUUUGCAAGUCGGAUGUGAAAUUCCCAGGCUUAACUUGGGCGGGUCAUCCGAAACUGCAGAUCUUGAGUACUGGAGAGGAUAGUGGAAUUCCUAGUGUAGCGGUAAAAUGCGUAGAUAUUAGGAGGAACACCAGUGGCGAAGGCGGCUAUCUGGACAGUAACUGACGCUGAGGCGCGAAAGCGUGGGGAGCAAAC
rnacentral:rRNA from 1 species